AUUGAACGCUGGCGGCAGGCGUAACACAUGCAAGUCGAGCGGAUGAUGGGAGCUUGCUCCUUGAUUCAGCGGCGGACGGGUGAGUAAUGCCUAGGAAUCUGCCUGGUAGUGGGGGACAACGUUUCGAAAGGAACGCUAAUACCGCAUACGUCCUACGGGAGAAAGCGGGGGACCUUCGGGCCUUGCGCUAUCAGAUGAGCCUAGGUCGGAUUAGCUAGUUGGUGGGGUAAUGGCUCACCAAGGCGACGAUCCGUAACUGGUCUGAGAGGAUGAUCGGUCACACUGGAACUGAGACACGGUCCAGACUCCUACGGGAGGCAGCAGUGGGGAAUAUUGGACAAUGGGCGAAAGCCUGAUCCAGCCAUGCCGCGUGUGUGAAGAAGGUCUUCGGAUUGUAAAGCACUUUAAGUUGGGAGGAAGGGCAGUAAGUUAAUACCUUGCUGUUUUGACGUUACUGACAGAAUAAGCACCGGCUAACUCUGUGCCAGCAGCCGCGGUAACAC
rnacentral:rRNA from 1 species